AGGUUGACCUCGGAUCAGGUAGGAAUACCCGCUAACUUAAGCAUAUCAAUAAGCGGAGGAAAAGAACCCACCAGGAUUGCCUCAGUAACGGCGAGUGAAGCGGCAACAGCUCAAAUUUGAAAUCUGGCUCUCUCAGGGCCCGAGUUGUAAUUUGUAGAAGAUGCUUCGGGUGCGGUCCGGGUCUAAGUUCCUUGGAAGAGGACGUCACAGAGGGUGAGAAUCCCGUAUGUGACCGGGUGCCCGCGCCCAUGUGAAGCUCUUUCGACGAGUCGAGUUGUUUGGGAAUGCAGCUCUAAAUGGGUGGUAUAUUUCAUCUAAAGCUAAAUAUUGGCCAGAGACCGAUAGCGCACAAGUAGAGUGAUCGAAAGAUGAAAAGCACUUUGGAAAGAGAGUUAAACAGUACGUGAAAUUGUUGAAAGGGAAGCGCUUGCAAUCAGACUUGCGCGCCGUCGGUCAUCCCAGGUUCUCCUGGGUGCACUCGGCGGCGCUCAGGCCAGCAUCGGUUCUGGUGGUGGGAUAAAGGCCUUGGGAAUGUAGCUCCUCUCGGGGAGUGUUAUAGCCCUCGGUGCAAUGCCGCCUACUGGGACCGAGGACCGCGCUCCGGCUAGGAUGCUGGCGUAAUGGUUGUAAGCGACCCGUCUUGAAACACGGACCAAGGAGUCUAACAUCUAUGCGAGUGUUUGGGUGUCAAACCCAUACGCGGAAUGAAAGUGAACGGAGCUAAGAACCCUCCAGGGUGCAUUAGCGACCGAUCCUGAUGUCUUCGGACGGAUUUGAGUACGAGCAUAGCUGUUGGGACCCGAAAGAUGGUGAACUAUGCCUGAAUAGGGUGAAGCCAGAGGAAACUCUGGUGGAGGCUCGCAGCGGUUCUGACGUGCAAAUCGAUCGUCAAAUUUGGGCAUAGGGGCGAAAGACUAAUCGAACCAUCUAGUAGCUGGUUCCUGCCGAAGU
rnacentral:rRNA from 1 species